GUAGAACUGUCCGCUGGGAGUCACGCACAUGGCCAAGUCCCUGGGGAUGCGCUGCCUCGGCCUGGGAUUGUAGUAUGGCCCUGGAGGGAGAAAGAGAAGAGAAGUGAUGGACAGAAGAGAAGAAGUCUGUGCCAACAGCUGUGUCAAAACUCACUGUGCUGGAAGCUUUUAUCUGGAAUCCAAUUGGACGCCCAAUGGCAGUGAUUCAUGGACCCAAAAUAACACCCCGGAGUGUUUGUGUUUCCGACUGCUGCUUGCUGUCAGUCUGUCUGGCUGCCUGUCUGUCACCUGGCCUGGCUGACCUCAGGAGAAAGCUAGGUCACUCUGGUCCGCUAACCAGUCGUCCCUCAGGCUCGGCAGAAGCUCAGGGGUGACCAUGCCUUCGCAGUUGUGGACCCCAGUCUGCGGAACAAACUGCCCCACUAAAUCAGAUCUGCCCCCUCGCUCGUGUCUUUAAAAGCACAGCUCAAGGCCCACCUCUUUUCUUUGGCUUUUAAUUGUACUUAAAUUGCUAUAUUUUUAUCUUGCUCUAUGCCUGGGUUUUUUUAUUUUUAUGCAUAUGUAUUGUAAAGCACUUUGGUUAGCUCAUGUUGAUUUAAAUGUGCUAUAGAACUAAAUUUGACUUGACGUUUUUACUACAUGUGCAUUUACUGUAUAUCAGUUACAAUAGGUAAGCUUGAAGACAUUGCUGUCCACUGUUUUCCCAACACUUCCUCCCUGCAUAGUAUUUUCUCUUUCUUAACCUUCUGACCAACCCUUGGUGAUACUACCUCGUGUAAAAUUACUUUGCAUCACGAUAUCAUGUAGCCAUUACGGUGUCUGCAAACAAAACAGGGGCCAAACAUGAACAUGAAUCAAUGGCUGAUUAUUUUGGCGGGAUGGCGCUCGAUCAAUCUCAUUUUCAUUUUCAAACAUAUUCUUCCAAAUGAAUGUAGUUGAACUACCUCUUUAAGGGUAAAUCUCCAUCUAUUUGCUAGUGUCACACUUCUGCUGUGAAUGCUGAGUUUUUAGAUACGUUCAGCAUGAAAUCCAAUCUUACUUUCUCUGCAUUUCAGACCCUCUGUUAAGCUAAACUGACAGACCUCCAAGACCUAUUUCCCUACAAUCCUGACUUGAAGCUCCACACUUCUAAGACUCCAUCAUUUAUGUAAACUCUUAAAACAUGGUCACAUGCUGAAAGCUUUACAGUAAAUCUGUAUCUAAAUUUUUUUGUGCUUGCUGGCAUUUUCAGUUUGAUUAAUUCCUCCCUCUCUGAAAGCACUAUAGCGAUAGCAAUAGUAAAUGAACAACAAAGACAAGAGGGAUCUACUGCUGUAUUUAUUUGUGCACACUAUACUGGACUGACUAUAACUACUUAAUAAUAAUAAUAAUAAUAAUAAUAAAGAUAAAAUUGUUAACAUUUUGCCUCCACCUUCAUUUCAGUUUUGUCCUUGUUCCAGUGUAUUUGUUACGAACAGACCAACCGGAGACAAGGGUAAGGAUACUGAGAGUUUAUUAUACACACAGCAGGAAUAUGGUGGAGAGAAGAUACUGUCCUUUUCCUUACUGAUGGUA